CCAGAGGGUCGGGCGGCCGCCGCGCGAGCAAUCGUGGGGAGGAAAGUCCGGGCUCCGCAGAGCAACGGCGCCGGGUAACGCCCGGCCGGGGAGACCCGAGGGAAAGCGCCACAGAAAACAGACCGCCUCGGCUUCGGCCCGGUAAGGUCGAAACGGUGCGGCAAGAGCGCACCGCGGUCCCGGCGACGGGAAUGGCACGGCAAGCCCCGCCGGGAGCAAGACCGAAUAGGGACGCCAUAUGGGCCGGCUCGGCUCGGGCGUCCGGGUUGGUUGCUUGAGGGCGGCAGCAAUGCCGCUCCUAGAGGAAUGGCCGCCCAUCCCCGUUCGCGGGGUGGACAGAACCCGGCUUACAGACCCUCUGGCGCU
rnacentral:RNase_P_RNA from 1 species